rnacentral:rRNA from 1 species
AUACGGAGGGGGCUAGCGUUGUUCGGAUUUACUGGGCGUAAAGCGCACGUAGGCGGAUCGAUCAGUCAGGGGUGAAAGGCCUGGGCUCAACCCAGGAACUGCCUUUGAUACUAUCGAUCUAGAAUCCGGGAGAGGUGAGCGGAAUUCCAAGUGUAGAGGUGAAAUUCGUAGAUAUUUGGAAGAACACCGGUGGCGAAGGCGGCUCACUGGACCGGUAUUGACGCUGAGGUGCGAAAGCGUGGGGAGCGAACAGGAUUAGAAACCCCAGUAGUCC